rnacentral:rRNA from 1 species
AUUGAACGCUAGCGGGAUGCCUUACACAUGCAAGUCGAACGGCAGCACGGACUUCGGUCUGGUGGCGAGUGGCGAACGGGUGAGUAAUGUAUCGGAACGUGCCCAGUAGCGGGGGAUAACUACUCGAAAGAGUAGCUAAUACCGCAUACGCCCUACGGGGGAAAGGGGGGGAUCGCAAGACCUCUCACUAUUGGAGCGGCCGAUAUCGGAUUAGCUAGUUGGUGGGGUAAAGGCCCACCAAGGCGACGAUCCGUAGCUGGUUUGAGAGGACGACAAGCAACACUGGGACUGAGACACGGCCCAGAGUCGUACGGGAGGCAGCAGUGGGGAAUUUUGGACAAUGGGGGCAACCCUGCUCCCGCCAUCCCGCGUGUGCGAUGAAGGCCUUCGGGUUGUAAAGCACUUUUGGCAGAGAAGAAAUCGCACGGGCUAAUACCUCGUGUGGAUGACGGUACCUGCAGAAUAAGCACCGGCUAACUACGUGCCAGCCGCCGCAGUAA